rnacentral:rRNA from 1 species
UACGUAGGGAGCAAGCGUUGUCCGGAAUUACUGGGCGUAAAGGGCGCGUAGGUGGGCGCUUAAGUCAGGUGUGAAAACUCCGGGCUCAACCUGGAGACUGCACUUGAAACUGGGUGUCUUGAGGGCAGGAGAGGAAAGUGGAAUUCCUAGUGUAGCGGUGAAAUGCGUAGAUAUUAGGAGGCACACCAGUGGCGAAGGCGACUUUCUGGACUGUACCUGACGCUGAGGCGCGAAAGCGUGGGUAGCGAACGGG